rnacentral:misc_RNA from 1 species
GAUGAAGAACGGAGUGAAAUGCGAUAAGUAAUGUGAAUUGCAGAAUUCCGUGAAUCAUCGAAUCUUUGAACGCACAUUGCGCCCCCUGGCAUUCCGGGGGGCAUGCCUGUCCGAGCGUCAUUUCUGCCCUCAAGCACGGCUUGUGUGUUGGGUGUGGUCCCCCCGGGGACCUGCCCGAAAGGCAGCGGCGACGUCCGUCUGGUCCUCGAGCGUAUGGGGCUCUGUCACUCGCUCGGGAAGGACCUGCGGGGGUUGGUCACCACUAUAUUUUACCACGGUUGACCUCGGAUCAGGUAGGAGUUACCCGCUGAACUUAAGCAUAUCAAUAAGCGGAGGA